GACGAACCGUCCAAACGUUAUUCGGAAUCACUGGGCUUACAGAGUUCGUAGGCGGUCUGGAAAGUUGGGUGUGAAAUCCCUCGGCCUAACCGAGGAACUGCACUUGAAACUACCAGACUCGAGGGGGAUAGAGGAAAGCGGAACUGAUGGUGGAGCGGUGAAAUGCGUUGAUAUCAUCAGGAACACCGGUGGCGAAGGCGGCUUUCUGGGUCUUACCUGACGCUGAGGAACGAAAGCCAGGGGAGCGAACGGG
rnacentral:rRNA from 1 species